rnacentral:rRNA from 1 species
AAUGGGUCAGCGACUUAUAUUCUGUAGCAAGGUUAACCGAAUAGGGGAGCCGAAGGGAAACCGAGUCUUAACUGGGCGUUAAGUUGCAGGGUAUAGACCCGAAACCCGGUGAUCUAGCCAUGGGCAGGUUGAAGGUUGGGUAACACUAACUGGAGGACCGAACCGACUAAUGUUGAAAAAUUAGCGGAUGACUUGUGGCUGGGGGUGAAAGGCCAAUCAAACCGGGAGAUAGCUGGUUCUCCCCGAAAGCUAUUUAGGUAGCGCCUCGUGAAUUCAUCUCCGGGGGUAGAGCACUGUUUCGGCAAGGGGGUCAUCCCGACUUACCAACCCGAUGCAAACUGCGAAUACCGGAGAAUGUUAUCACGGGAGACACACGGCGGGUGCUAACGUCCGUCGUGAAGAGGGAAACAACCCAGACCGCCAGCUAAGGUCCCAAAGUCAUGGUUAAGUGGGAAACGAUGUGGGAAGGCCCAGACAGCCAGGAUGUUGGCUUAGAAGCAGCCAUCAUUUAAAGAAAGCGUAAUAGCUCACUGGUCGAGUCGGCCUGCGCGGAAGAUGUAACGGGGCUAAACCAUGCACCGAAGCUGCGGCAGCGACGCUUAUGCGUUGUUGGGUAGGGGAGCGUUCUGUAAGCCUGUGAAGGUGUGCUGUGAGGCAUGCUGGAGGUAUCAGAAGUGCGAAUGCUGACAUAAGUAACGAUAAAGCGGGUGAAAAGCCCGCUCGCCGGAAGACCAAGGGUUCCUGUCCAACGUUAAUCGGGGCAGGGUGAGUCGACCCCUAAGGCGAGGCCGAAAGGCGUAGUCGAUGGGAAACAGGUUAAUAUUCCUGUACUUGGUGUUACUGCGAAGGGGGGACGGAGAAGGCUAUGUUGGCCGGGCGACGGUUGUCCCGGUUUAAGCGUGUAGGCUGGUUUUCCAGGCAAAUCCGGAAAAUCAAGGCUGAGGCGUGAUGACGAGGCACUACGGUGCUGAAGCAACAAAUGCCCUGCUUCCAGGAAAAGCCUCUAAGCAUCAGGUAACAUCAAAUCGUACCCCAAACCGACACAGGUGGUCAGGUAGAGAAUACCAAGGCGCUUGAGAGAACUCGGGUGAAGGAACUAGGCAAAAUGGUGCCGUAACUUCGGGAGAAGGCACGCUGAUAUGUAGGUGAAGUCCCUUGCGGAUGGAGCUGAAAUCAGUCGAAGAUACCAGCUGGCUGCAACUGUUUAUUAAAAACACAGCACUGUGCAAACACGAAAGUGGACGUAUACGGUGUGACGCCUGCCCGGUGCCGGAAGGUUAAUUGAUGGGGUCAGCGCAAGCGAAGCUCUUGAUCGAAGCCCCGGUAAACGGCGGCCGUAACUAUAACGGUCCUAAGGUAGCGAAAUUCCUUGUCGGGUAAGUUCCGACCUGCACGAAUGGCGUAAUGAUGGCCAGGCUGUCUCCACCCGAGACUCAGUGAAAUUGAACUCGCUGUGAAGAUGCAGUGUACCCGCGGCAAG